rnacentral:misc_RNA from 1 species
GUGCCGAGCAGAGCACGCUUGGAUGUCCGUGCAGCGAAAGGGAACCUAUAUCGUUGAGCCAUUGACGCGCGCUGCACGCACGCACACACAGCCGUUUACCUUCCCCCUUCUAACGUGCUCGUACGCGAAGUUAUACGCAUGGGGUGCUCUCACACACAGACACGCAUCUCCUUUGAAAUAGGCCGAAACUCUGCGUAGAGGGCGAUCGGGCUCAUCCCCUCUCUGCCUCCCUCCUCGUCCUCUGCGCGGAUCGUCCCGCCAAGAUAUCUCACGGAGCGGGUACUCUCCCUCUUCCCUUCUCUCUCCGGCUCCUGGCGCCAAUAAUGUCGUCGUCUUCCCUAGCCUCUCCCACCGCGGAGAAUGCCCAGAAGUUGAAGGAGGCGCAGCUGAAGAUUGGGAUGGCACUGAAAAAUGCGCAGUACGCCUUGACAGCGCAUGCCCAUCGCAGCCUCACCACCGCUCUUCAUGAGAAUGUGAACGCAUUGACGGCCCUCAGCAAGUACCUCUCUCUCUCCGGCAGCCCGGUGAAGGCAGCCGCCAUUGCAGGACAGAUGGCUAAGAUUCUCAGGUCUGUCAGCGCGUACGUCGCGGCAAAAGAGCGGAGCGGCGGUGGUUGGCAGCGCGCCGAAGGGUCGCACCACAGCAGCUCGCCCAACACGUCCCCAAGCAGCAGCGUUAUGCUCCACGAGCUGGGCUGCAUGCCAGACUCGCCACGCGAGUCUGCCGGAAUCGUCGCAGAUCUGCAGCGAGCUGUUGAGGAGCUGAAGGAGCAGCGAGACAUGAUGGCAGAAGAGAAGCGUGCGCUUAAAGCGGCCUUGGAAGAGUCUCGCCAACACCCGGUCACCACCACGCCAUGCGCAGUGGUAGAGGCGCACUCAGCGGAGGUUGCCGACAAAGACGCUGGCGCGGCUAUUCGAGAGCUGCGCGCGGAGUUAGACAGCUUGAAGCACGAGUUGCGCGAGGAACGCACGCGGGCUGCCGCCCUGCAGGAUCAGCUGCACGAGGCAGAGGAGCAAGUCGAAGAUCAGCAAGAUCAAGUGCAGGCACUCAGGCUUCAGCUGAAGCUAUCGCAGGAGGAGAAGCUAUCGCAAGAUGCCGCAUUUGCCAAGAAGGAAGAGGAGAUCAAGGCGCUUCAAGUAGCCUUGUUGCAGAAUUCGCACAGCACAAGCUCCCCGUCAUCCGCGUUAGCAGCCGCCAAAGAUGCAUCAGCAGCUGCCCAACCCCCUCGCGGCUAUGUGGAUAAGGAUGACUUUGACGCCUUAAGGCUGCAGAAUCAGCUCCUUCAGCAAGCGCUGCGCGCGCAGGAGACACAGGCGCGACCUACCAACUCCCAAGCUGUGCUGACCCAACAGACGCUAGAAGAGAUUGAAGCUGAUCAUCAACAGCAGCUAGAGGCGAUGAAGCUCACAAUUCAGAACCAAUACAACCGCGAAACGGAACUCCUCGGUCAACAGCACGCUAUGCAGGACAGCAUCGACGACCUGAAGCGACAGCUUCAGCUCAGCAGUAACCGGCAGUGGGUGCAGCAGGAGCGCGAGCAGCACGAGAGCCGGGUGGCGGAGCUGCAGCAGCAGCUGGAGACGGAGCGCGACCGCGCGGCUGCCAGCGUGUCCGCAGUGGAGGAGCGCGAGUCUGUGUUGCAGCAGCGCCUCGCCGAGCUGCGCACCAGUAUGACAGCGGAGCGCGAGCAGCACGAGAGCCGGGUGGCGGAGCUGCAGCAGCAGCUGGAGACGGAGCGCGACCGCGCGGCUGCCAGCGUGUCCGCAGUGGAGGAGCGCGAGUCUGCGUUGCAGCAGCGCCUCGCCGAGCUGCGCACCAGUAUGACAGCGGAGCGCGAGCAGCACGAGAGCCGGGUGGCGGAGCUGCAGCAGCAGCUGGAGACGGAGCGCGACCGCGCGGCUGCCAGCGUGUCCGCAGUGGAGGAGCGCGAGUCUGCGUUGCAGCAGCGCCUCGCCGAGCUGCGCACCAGUAUGACAGCGGAGCGCGAGCAGCACGAGAGCCGGGUGGCGGAGCUGCAGCAGCAGCUGGAGACGGAGCGCGACCGCGCGGCUGCCAGCCAGUCUACUGUGGAGGAGCGCGAGUCUGUGUUGCAGCAGCGCCUCGCCGAGCUGCGCACCAGUAUGACAGCGGAGCGCGAGCAGCACGAGAGCCGGGUGGCGGAGCUGCAGCAGCAGCUGGAGACGGAGCGCGACCGCGCGGCUGCCAGCGUGUCCGCAGUGGAGGAGCGCGAGUCUGCGUUGCAGCAGCGCCUCGCCGAGCUGCGCACCAGUAUGACAGCGGAGCGCGAGCAGCACGAGAGCCGGGUGGCGGAGCUGCAGCAGCAGCUGGAGACGGAGCGCGACCGCGCGGCUGCCAGCGUGUCCGCAGUGGAGGAGCGCGAGUCUGUGUUGCAGCAGCGCCUCGCCGAGCUGCGCACCAGUAUGACAGCGGAGCGCGAGCAGCACGAGAGCCGGGUGGCGGAGCUGCAGCAGCAGCUGGAGACGGAGCGCGACCGCGCGGCUGCCAGCGUGUCCGCAGUGGAGGAGCGCGAGUCUGCGUUGCAGCAGCGCCUCGCCGAGCUGCGCACCAGUAUGACAGCGGAGCGCGAGCAGCACGAGAGCCGGGUGGCGGAGCUGCAGCAGCAGCUGGAGACGGAGCGCGACCGCGCGGCUGCCAGCGUGUCCGCAGUGGAGGAGCGCGAGUCUGCGUUGCAGCAGCGCCUCGCCGAGCUGCGCACCAGUAUGACAGCGGAGCGCGAGCAGCACGAGAGCCGGGUGGCGGAGCUGCAGCAGCAGCUGGAGACGGAGCGCGACCGCGCGGCUGCCAGCCAGUCUACUGUGGAGGAGCGCGAGUCUGUGUUGCAGCAGCGCCUCGCCGAGCUGCGCACCAGUAUGACAGCGGAGCGCGAGCAGCACGAGAGCCGGGUGGCGGAGUUUGAAAGGCGCGUAGCCCAACUCGAGGCUACUCAAAAGGCUGAAAAUGAGGGUCAUGGUGUAGCUGAAGCGGAUUUGAGGGCGCAGGUCGACGCGGAGCACAUGCGUGCUGACAUGGCGGAAGUUGACGCCCGUGAAAAGGUGAGGAGUGCUGCGGAAGAUUCCAAGGUCUUUGCGGAAGCACAGGCCGCGGUGGUUGAAAAGCUGAAAGAUGAUCAUACUGCAGAACUGAAGCGAGUGUACUGCGAGUCAGCCACGAAGUUUGCUGUGGCGUCGCAGCCUGUCGACUGGUUGAAGGAGGAGAACGUGGCUCUAAAGGUGCAGGUGAAUGAGUGGGAGGAGAGGCACAAGGAGGAGGCAAAGGAGAAGAUGGCGGCGCUGGCCAAGGUGCGGGAGACAGAGCAGAUUCUGUCCUCCCGAAAGGGCGAGCUGCAGCGUCUCAAGGACGAAUGUGCAUCCAUGCAGAAGUCGAUGGCGAAAUCCAUGGAGGAGCGCGAUGCCGCGGUGGAGAAGCUGAAGGAUGGCUUUCAGCUGGCAGAAGAAGCUCAGGCAAACGUAGUGCGUCUUGAGACACUGCGCAAGGAGCUGGAUGAGGUGCAGAAGCGGCUCGACACAGCUGACAAGGAUAAGGCCCUCCUGGCGUCCCGCUACAAGCGUGCGAGCACCGAGAAGGAAGAAUGUGCCGACGCUGCCAGAAAGCUGCUGGCUCAGUAUAAGGAGAUGGCGUCGACACAUGAGAAGCUGGUGGCUCAACUAGCUGCAGCCGAGGCAUUGGCAGCGGAGAAGAGCAGGGUGGCUGAGGAGCUCACGCGGGCAGCUGCUGUCGAUGCAGAUCUCACAAACAAUGGACUGCAGGAUGAUGCGGUGAUGGCAGGGGCACAAAAAGUCUUGGAGGAUACGGUGAGCGAAAAGCAGGAGCGAAUCGAGGGGCUUGUGGCCGUGAUCGACGGAACGGCACGUGAAAACAAGAGACUAAAGUCGGAGCUGGGCAACGCACAAGCUCGCCAGGUGUCGACCUAUCGGCUGUCGCUGACUGCUGAGCCGACCUCGAUGCAACCAGCCUUUGCACGAGACAUGCUGAGCUCACUGGCAGAGAUGCGUGCCAUUCUGAGCGCGAUGCACGCGCAACUACUUCCUAUUCUGGAGCAGCGUUGUGUGCAAGAGCGUUCCCGGGCUGCCGCAGCAGCGAGCCCUUCCGCCUCCACAAGCGCAGUGGAGGCUCUAGAAGAGUUGCACAUGGCAACGGAGUCAGCCCACGCGGCGACGCAAGCUACUCUGGAGCACUUUGAUGCUAUGGCACGCCAGAUCUGCGUGUCUGCCGAUCUGCAAGGUGUUGUGUAUGGCAAGCUACUUGCCACACUGCAGCAGCCGCAAGGCAAGAGUGCCGCACCUGCACUCACGUCCCCCUUGGUGGAUGUUUCCCUCGUACGUGCCUGUGCUGCCCUUUUCAGCGAGGCGUGCUCUUGUCCAGCGCCAAGAUGGGAGGAGAACGUGCGCCACGGAGCAAAGAAAUCGGCCAGUCCUGCUAACCAAAGCGACCGUUCAGACAAGGCCUGCAGCGCAGUUCGAGGCUGCGCCGUUGCCGCUGAAAAGGAUGAGCGAGUUACUGCUUCCACUGCUGCGGAUCGGAAGUCCCUGCCGACGUGGUCGCAUUGUCGUGCCUUUUCGAGCGCACCGACUGUGUUCGCUUCCCCUGCAGUCGCAGGCAAUCGAGAUACCUCUGCCUGCACCCUGAGCCCCGCCCGUCGGCGCACAGACGACUGCGAGUUUGGCAUGCUGAGCGAUGCUGGCUACAGGCGGCCACUCACCCGAGCUGGACCUCAGCGUCGGUCCUCCUUUGGGAAUUUCGCGGUGGCCCAAGCGACUAUCUCGCUCGCGGAGGAACGUGCUGGGCUACGCACUGCCCCUACGCCGCCAUGGAAAUAGAUGCCGAAAUGCCUUACUGCCGACUCUAUGCCCUGCUCCCCGAUGUGCUGCGCUCUUCCUGUGGCUUAUCGAGUACUGAAGCAUCCAAUGCUGCUCGACACCAUCCGCAGCUCCCUUCCCAUCCCUCCGUAUUUAUGUGUGUGCGCUUGUUUUUGCAUGGUUGCCGACGCCAGUGCUGAUCUCAUUUUUUUUUGUGGCGUUUUGCUUGAUAGCAAUACGAAAAGCCACACUCACGCUUUAUUCUUAUUUGCUACAGGAAGACAGUGAAG